AAUCUGCUUCCGGCCUGCGAGCUCGGUGUUCCGCUUUUUGUGGGCCGGGUGGGUUUCCUAAUCUGGUUUCGUCUGCCUGGUUCAUCUGUGUGCGAUGGCUCCGGACUCGGAUCCCUUCCCUGAAGGGCCGCUCUUAAAGCUGCUACCCUUAGACGCUAGAGACCGGGGCACCCAGCGCUGCCGCCUGGGCCCGGCCGCCCUCCACGCCCUGGGCGCGCGCUUGGGCUCGGCAGUGAAGAUCUCGCUACCCGACGGCGGCUCCUGCCUCUGCACUGCCUGGCCUCGGCGGGACGGAGCGGACGGCUUUGUGCAGCUGGACCCGCUGUGCGCGAGCCCCGGGGCGGCGGUCGGGGCGUCGAGAUCCCGGAGGAGUCUCAGCCUGAAUCGCCUCCUCCUAGUGCCCUGUCCGCCCCUGCGGCGCGUCGCCGUGUGGCCGGUGUUGCGAGAGCGGGCAGGCGCGCCCGGUGCCCGGAAUACAGCCGCGGUGCUGGAGGCGGCACAGGAGCUGCUGAGAAACCGACCGAUCUCCCUGGGCCACGUGGUGGUCGCUCCGCCAGGCGCUCCUGGCCUGGUGGCUGCCUUGCACAUCGUCGGCGGGACGCCCAGUCCCGAUCCCGCUGGGCUGGUCACCCCUCGUACCCGCGUCAGCCUUGGCGGGGAGCCUCCGUCGGAAGCCCAGCCGCAGCCCGAGGUGCCCCUGGGAGGUCUUUCGGAGGCGGCCGACUCGCUGCGGGAGCUCCUCCGCCUCCCGCUCCGCUACCCGCGCGCCCUGACCGCGCUGGGCUUAGCGGUGCCUCGCGGGGUGCUCCUGGCGGGGCCCCCCGGAGUGGGCAAGACCCAGCUGGUGCGGGCCGUGGCGCGCGAGGCGGGCGCGGAGCUGCUGGCAGUCAGCGCCCCGGCGCUGCAGGGUUCCCGGCCUGGGGAGACCGAGGAGAACGUGCGGCGGGUCUUCCAGCGCGCCCGGGAACUGGCCAGCCGCGGACCCAGCCUCCUCUUCCUGGACGAGAUGGACGCCUUGUGUCCCCAGCGGGGCAGUCGAGCACCCGAGAGCCGCGUAGUGGCCCAGGUGUUGACGCUGCUGGACGGCGCCAGUGGGGACCGCGAGGUCGUGGUUGUGGGAGCCACUAACCGGCCGGACGCUCUAGACCCAGCGCUGCGUAGGCCCGGGAGAUUUGACCGAGAGGUGGUCAUUGGGACUCCCACACUUAAACAAAGAAAGGAAAUUCUGCAAGUGAUUACCUCGAAGAUGCCCAUCUCCAGUCAUGUUGAUUUGGGCCUUCUUGCAGAAAUGACAGUUGGCUAUGUUGGUGCCGACCUGACAGCACUCUGUAGGGAGGCUGCCAUGCAUGCCCUCCUUCAUAGUGAGAAGUUCCAGGUUUGACCAUAAGCACCUCUCACUUAGGUGGACCAGUCAGCUGCUGUCGUCCCAGGGUGGAGCCCACUGCUACUUCAGGAGGGGCCUGCUCAGGUGUAGUUACCACAGGUGAUGGCUGAGUUCAGAAACAACCCAGGGGAAGUGGAAGGAAGAAAGGCAAAAAGCAUGAAGGGACAGACAACUGGGAAGAACCAGGACAAUCCUGUGAUUGAUGAAAUAGACUUCCUUGAAGCUUUUAAAAAUAUUCAGCCCUCAUCGUUUCGAAGCGUCAUUGGAUUAAUGGAUAUCAAGCCUGUUGACUGGGAGGAGAUUGGUGGCCUUGAAGAUGUAAAACUGAAGUUAAAACAGAGCAUUGAGUGGCCUCUGAAAUUCCCUUGGGAAUUUGUUAGAAUGGGCCUGACACAACCAAAGGGAGUUCUCCUCUAUGGGCCCCCUGGAUGUGCUAAAACCACUCUGGUGAGGGCCCUGGCCACAAGCUGUCACUGCUCUUUCGUUUCAGUGAGUGGAGCUGAUCUGUUUUCACCGUUUGUUGGAGAUUCAGAAAAAGUGUUGUCUCAGAUAUUUCGACAAGCAAGAGCAAGCACUCCAGCAAUUUUGUUUUUGGAUGAAAUUGAUUCAAUCUUGGGAGCUCGCUCAGCCAGCAAGACAGGAUGUGAUGUUCAAGAACGAGUUCUUUCUGUUCUCCUGAAUGAAUUAGAUGGUGUUGGACUUAAGACAAUAGAGAGAAGAGGAAGUAAAUCAAGUCAACAGGGUAAAUACAAGGAGCUGAAAAAAUGAAGAGAGUUUCAAGAAGUUUUUAACCGAAGUGUCAUGAUUAUUGCAGCAACAAAUAGACCUGAUGUGUUAGAUACUGCUUUGUUACGACCUGGAAGAUUAGAUAAGAUCAUCUAUAUCCCACCUCCAGAUCACAAGGGCAGGCUUUCUAUUUUAAAAGUCUGUACAAAAACCAUGCCAAUAGGGCCUGAUGUCUCCUUAGAAAACCUCGCAGCAGAAACCUGUUUUUUUUCUGGAGCUGAUCUUAGAAACCUCUGCACAGAAGCUGCUUUGCUGGCUCUGCAAGAAAAUGGACUAGACGCAACUACAGUGAAACAAGAGCACUUUCUAAAAUCACUUAAGACUGUAAAACCGUCGUUAAGUUGCAAGGACUUGGCUUUAUAUGAAAACUUAUUUAAGAAAGAAGGAUUUUCUAACGUGGAAGGUAUUUAAAAAUCACCUUAAACUCUUGUUCAGUUCACAUUAAUUGAAAUGUGAACUUGCCUGUCGUUUGCAACUUCACACUUUUAGAAUUUGUGUUUAUAUUUCCUGUAAGUGAAUAAAUAAAACAAAACAAAACAAAAAAAACUUGUGCCUGAUAAGCUAAGGCUCAUUUAUUUUUAAAAGGCAUAUUAAAUAAAAUACUGUAAUUUAGGAA